CUUUCCUUCCUUCCAGCCCAAAGUCAAGGUACAGCUGAAGGACAGUCACUGCUUGGCAGAGCAUUCAUAUAUUGGAUUCUUGGGUCUCAAGGGUGUUAAAGUUACAGUGUGGAGUAAAUGAUACUUUGAAUCUGUCUUCUUUCCUGGUUCUGAGAAGCAAAGCCGCCAUGUCACAAUUGGUCCAGUGCCCUCUCCAUUGCCCUACGUUAGCGGCCAUGAAGAGUCAUCGUUUCAAUUUCUGCUUUUUUGAGGCAUUUUUUGACAGCUGUCUUCAAGCUAGAUCUCACCUGACCAAUAUCAUUAGUCUUCGUUUAAAGAUGAGAAAAUUGAAAUGGAGAAAGGCAACUCAUGAGCAACGGUGGGCAGUUUCUGGCAAAACUGUGGAAGAUGAAGCUUAUCUCAAUUUAGUCCCCCAUCUCCAUCUCUCCGCUCCAGCGUGCUCUUCCCUCUCUAAGCAUUCUAUGGUCUUCCCUCUCUAACAAUUCUUUUUGUUGACCUGAAGCCUGCCUGACACAUUAAAGAACUGAGGUGAUAUUGGUAUGAGGGUCUAUUGAUGUACUUCACCCCAAGACCAGCAAAGGAAAGGUGGCUGUACGAGAAUGGUGAGUGUUCUGGCUUGGGUAUCACAAACAGCUGGGGCUAAAUUUUGCUUCUAAUACUUAUUCUAUGUUUGACCCUGAGUGGGACACUUAACCAUAGUGUGCUUCAGGCAAUUCCUUAAGAAUCAUUCUACUGAGAUCCUGAACAACUUGGUGGAAUCUAAGAGAAAAACCAUUGUGGCAGUAGAAACACAGAAGAAAAACAACUGCUUGAUUACAUGGGUUGAGGGGAAUAUGGUUGGGGAUGUAGACCCUAAAGGAACAUCCUAGUGCAAACAACAACAUGGAAAUAGGUUCUGAUCAAGGAUACAAGUAAUACCCAGUGGAAUUGCACAUUGGCUGAGGGAAGAGUGGGUGGAGGGGAGGGAGGGAAAUAUUGUGAUUAUUGUAACCAAGGAAUAAUGUUCUAAAUUGACUAAAUAAAUUAAUUAAAAAGAAUCA
rnacentral:lncRNA from 1 species